GAUGAACGCUGGCGGCGUGCCUAAUACAUGCAAGUCGAGCGAACGGACGAGAAGCUUGCUUCUCUGAUGUUAGCGGCGGACGGGUGAGUAACACGUGGAUAACCUACCUAUAAGACUGGGAUAACUUCGGGAAACCGGAGCUAAUACCGGAUAAUAUUUUGAACCGCAUGGUUCAAAAGUGAAAGACGGUCUUGCUGUCACUUAUAGAUGGAUCCGCGCUGCAUUAGCUAGUUGCUAAGGUAACGGCCUACCAAGGCAACGAUGCAUGGACGACCUGGUAGAGUGAUCGGCCACCCUGGAACGGGAACGCGGUCAAUACUCCUACGGGAGGGCGCAGUAGGGAAUCUUCCGCAGUGGGCGAAAGCCUGACGGAGCAACGCCGCGUGAGUGAUAAAGGUCUUCGGAUCGUAAAGCUCUGUUAUUAGGGAAGAACCUAUGUGUAAGUAAAUGUGGACAUCUUGACGGUACCUAAUCAGAAAGCAACGGCUAACUACGUG
rnacentral:rRNA from 1 species